UAAUACAGAGGGUGCGAGCGUUAAUCGGAAUUACUGGGCGUAAAGCGCGCGUAGGCGGUUUAUUAAGUCGGAUGUGAAAUCCCUGAGCUUAACUUAGGAAUUGCAUUCGAUACUGGUAAGCUAGAGUAUGGGAGAGGAAGGUAGAAUUCCAGGUGUAGCGGUGAAAUGCGUAGAGAUCUGGAGGAAUACCGAUGGCGAAGGCAGCCUUCUGGCCUAAUACUGACGCUGAGGUGCGAAAGCAUGGGAGCAAACAGGAUUAGAUACCCUGGUAGUCCAUGCCGUAAACGAUGUCAACUAGCCGUUGGGGGAUUUGAUCCUUUAGUGGCGCAGCUAACGCGAUAAGUUGACCGCCUGAGGAGUACGGUCGCAAGACUAAAACUCAAAUGAAUUGACGGGGGCCCGCACAAGCGGUGGAGCAUGUGGUUUAAUUCGAUGCAACGCGAAGAACCUUACCUGGUCUUGACAUAGUGAGAAUCCUGCAGAGAUGC
rnacentral:rRNA from 1 species